UACGAAGGGUGCAAGCGUUACUCGGAAUUACUGGGCGUAAAGCGUGCGUAGGUGGUUGUUUAAGUCUGCUGUGAAAGCCCUGGGCUCAACCUGGGAAUUGCAGUGGAUACUGGGCGACUAGAGUGUGGUAGUGGACAGUGGAAUUUCCGGUGUAGCAGUGAAAUGCGUAGAGAUCGGAAGGAACAUCUGUGGCGAAGGCGACUGUCUGGGCCAACACUGACACUGAGGCACGAAAGCGUGGGGAGCAAACAGG
rnacentral:rRNA from 1 species